UUAUCUCCCUUGAGGUGAGGAAUACCGGCGAGAAAUCGCCGACAAAACCGCAUAGGAUUGGCAACAAUCAAAGUUGUGCUUCGCGAGAAGUAUGACGCCACAAGAUGAGCUCGCGCCCGAUUAGCUGGUUGGUGAGGUAAAGGCUUACCAAGGCGACCAUCGGUAGCUGGUCUGAGAGGAUGAUCAGCCACACUGGGAUUGAGAACGGCCCAG
rnacentral:rRNA from 1 species